CCUAAAAAACAGCCCUCCCGUAUCCCUAACCUCAUCCCCACCAUCCCACCCAUCGCCUGCAAUGGAUCCGCCGCCGCCCUGAUCCCGACCAUCCGCCGCCGCUCCCUGCCCCAUCCACCACCGGUGCUCACCGCUUUCACCCUCUGUUGCAUCCCAGCACCUCCAUAGCCACCGUGGACCAUCUCUCUCCUUGGUCCUCUCUCUUGGAUCAGCAUGCGGCGACAGAUGCUUUCAGUCGCGUGGUGGUGAUGCGGCUGGUCGGGGAACGAGGGUGAGGCGGGCUGUGUCCCACUCCUUGAUCUUCCUCCACCUUCAAUUCCUCCUCUCCCACCGAACGUCAUGUCCGUAGUUACUGCGACAGGCGCUCUGCUCUCCCGUGGCAGCGAUGCGUAUAGCGACAACAAUGUCCUUUUGUGCCCCUCCACUCUUCAGACUGCCGAUGCACGAAAGUACGCGGAGAAUAUCACGCUCCGCUUAGCAAAUUCGUCCGUGUUCGAAGUGGCUGCUCGGCAAGAGCUUGUGCCGGAUGUUCAUCAUCAACGCCAGUUAGGGGUUCAGGCUCCUGUCAAACUCAUGUCAUCAGCCAUACGGACCUGCAUGUAUUUGAUAGUUUGCUCAAUCAGAUUUAUGCCUUCAACCACAGCUAAGGCUACCACACUACUUCAUUGAGAUUUCUUUACUACAGGACAUGGAUUAAUAAUAUCCAACAAUACAGUCAUGCUUUCUUAUAUUUACUUUCAGUUCUAAAUACAUUUGUGAUUUUCUAUAUGCUGUCUUACUAAACUGUGUGUGCUAAACCAACCAUAUGGUAUAUAGAAAGGAUUCUACAAUGUUAGCUUAUAUUGCAAACUCUUGAAAAUAUGCGGUCAUUUUACUGUUUUUGCCGUGAACUUGGGGAGCUUUGGACAGAGUAUGGUGUCAAUAAUCAGUAUAUACCAGAACAAUAUUUUUGUGAUAUUGUAUAUACUGACUUAGUGAUAGUGGAGUAUUUACCACAUUUUUUCCAUGGACUUUAUACUGCAUUUUUGAAGGGGAGCCUUGGCGCAGUGGUAAAGCUGCUGCCUUGUGACCAUGAGGUCAUGGGUUCAAGUCCUGGAAACAGCCUCUUACAGAAAUGUAGGGAAAAGCUGCGUACUAUAGACCCAAAGUGGUCGGACCCUUCCCUGGACCCUGCGCAAGCGGGAGCUACAUGCACCAGGUUGCCUUAAAAAAACUUUAUACUGCAUUUUUGAACUGGUUAGAAUAGCUGACGCCUUUUAUAUCUUCCUUGUGGUAUAUGCUACCAUCCAAGGGAGUAUAUAAGGUACUAAUUUCAAGUAUAUACUAUUGUACUAUAUUUUGUCUAUAUACAUCUGCAACCAAGUAGUAUGUGCACUGCUCUUUGUGCACGGCAGUAUAUACAUCAUUUUUUGUAAGGCAAUAUAUAACAGCUUUUUUGUGAACCAGUAUACUACUUUUUUUAGUCAGUAUAUAUAUACAUAAUCUUUUAGUCGAUAUAUACUACUUUUCUUUAGUCGGUAUAUACUACUGUUCUUGAUAUAAAGGGUAAAGCAGCGCACACAUGACGCGCAGCAGCCGUUGUCGACUAGACGGUGCUGCUGCUGCAUGGAUCUAUCAGUGCAUGCCACGCCGCCACCAUUUCUUAUUGCUGCCGUUAUUGAUGAGAUUGGCAGUGCCGUCGUAUGGGUCGAUCAGUGCACACCAUGCUGCCACGUUGUCGACGAGAUGGUAGUGCCGUCUUAUCCAUCGAUGCUAUGUGACUUGCUUCACCAAUGGCUUUGCACCUUGAUCCAGAUUGUUUUCAUGCAAAGCCUGUCAUGUUUGCCUCCUAAUGACCACAUCCACUAAGUCAGCUCUCUCUCUCUACUACUGCAACUAACUAACUGUGAUGAUCUUCUCCAGGUUUUUUGGCUGGAUACUGAGAUGGCACCAUUGUGCUGCUGAAGUUAAACCCUGUUUAUUGGGACGUACAAGCGGGCGGCAAGCACACAUGGCGGCAGGAGACAAGCCAUAUUUUACCAAUGACUGCUGCUAGGAUUGAUGUCCUAUUGCCGGAGAAACAAUGGCAACAGUCGCACCGUUUUUUCUUAGUUUCUUUCCAAGGCACUCAAUUCACGAGCCAAACAUUGAUGUGGGCUACCAUGGGGGCUAGGAAGCAGGAUCAACUUGAAGCGAACUUAAAAUUAAUUCUAAUGAGCAUUUUGUCUUCAUUCUGUCUUGAUGCAAAUACAUCAACGUGUGGACUACCAUCCAUUGAUGCGUGGAGACCAAGUUACUGUGGCAACAUAUACGCCAAUGAUUUUAUCUACUGAUCGAUCUAUAAUUUCCUUUUUCUAUUUAUUAGAGUUGAUCUCUGUUUUCUCUUUGUCUGUUCAUGCUUGUGGCAAAAUCGCAGAUAUUCAUGUAUCGGCCUCACGCGAGUCGUUGCUGGAGCCCAAUCAUGGGGAGGAUACAUGGUGGAUGGCCCAACGAUCCUUAGGGAUGGAAGGAUCCCAUGACUACAGGAAUAGCAAUAAAUAAACUAUGUACUAACUAGAGCAAUGAUAUAUUUCAUAGGUCUAGGAUAUAUAUGUGAAAUAACAAUUUACUUCAUAUAACUACUAGGCUGACAAGUAUUUGGCAUUCUGUAUUUUUAAUAAGUAGAUGAUUUUUCUACAAUAGUUCCAUGUUCAUAUGUCAUGCUUCUCUGGUCCAAUAGGAAACAAUGUCAUUGAUGGACCAAAGUAUAUAGGGAUUUAUAUCAUCCUGGUA